UGUAGUAGUGAGGUAACAGGGAUAUGUGUUGUUGUAGUAGUGAGGUAACAGGGAUACGUGUUGUAGUAGUGAGGUAACAGGGAUACGUGUUGUAGUAGUGAGGUAACAGGGAUACGUGUUGUUGUAGUAGUGAGGUAACAGGGAUACGUGUUGUUGUAGUAGUGAGGUAACAGGGAUACGUGUUGUUGUAGUAGUGAGGUAACAGGGAUACGUGUUGUUGUAGUAGUGAGGUAACAGGGAUACGUGUUGUUGUAGUAGUGAGGUAACAGGGAUACGUGUUGUUGUAGUAGUGAGGUAACAGGGAUACGUGUUGUUGUAGUAGUGAGGUAACAGGGAUACGUGUUGUUGUAGUAGUGAGGUAACAGGGAUACGUGUUGUUGUAGUAGUGAGGUAACAGGGAUACGUGUUGUUGUAGUAGUGAGGUAACAGGGAUACGUGUUGUUGUAGUAGUGAGGUAACAGGGAUACGUGUUGUUGUAGUAGUGAGGUAACAGGGAUACGUGUUGUUGUAGUAGUGAGGUAACAGGGAUACGUGUUGUUGUAGUAGUGAGGUAACAGGGAUACGUGUUGUUGUAGUAGUGAGGUAACAGGGAUACGUGUUGUUGUAGUAGUGAGGUAACAGGGAUACGUGUUGUUGUAGUAGUGAGGUAACGGGGAUACGUGUUGUUGCAGUAGUGAGGUAACAGGG